ACGUAGGAGACAAGCGUUAUCCGGAUUUACUGGGCGUAAAGCGCGUGCAGGCGGUUCGGUAAGUCGGGCGUGAAAGCUCCUGGCUCAACUGGGAGAGGCCGUCCGAAACUGCCGGGCUUGAGGGCGACAGAGGGGAGUGGAAUUCCGGGUGUAGUGGUGAAAUGCGUAGAGAUCCGGAGGAACACCAGUGGCGAAGGCGGUUCGCUGGGCCUACUCUGACGCUCAGACGCGACAGCAUGGGGAGCGAACGG
rnacentral:rRNA from 1 species